AUACGGAGGGUGCAAGCGUUACUCGGAAUCACUGGGCGUAAAGCGCGCGCAGGCGGUUUGAUAAGUUGGAUGUGAAAUCCUAUGGCUCAACCAUAGAACUGCAUCCAAAACUGUCAAACUAGAGUCUGGGAGAGGAAGAUGGAAUUAGUUGUGUAGGGGUAAAAUCCGUAGAGAUAACUAGGAAUACCAAAAGCGAAGGCGAUCUUCUGGAACAGUACUGACGCUGAGGCGCGAAAGCGUGGGGAGCAAACAGGAUUAGAAACCCCGGUAGUCC
rnacentral:rRNA from 1 species